GGGGUUAUAGUUAAUAAUAACAUUUGAGUUGCAUUCAAAAAGUACUGCCCCAUUAGCAGUUAACCUCA
rnacentral:tRNA from 1 species